GCUCCCAUCGUCUAGCGGUUAGGACGUCGCCCUCUCAAGGCGAAGAUCACGGGUUCGAAUCCCGUUGGGAGCGCCA
rnacentral:tRNA from 1 species